CCUGAUCUGACUUACACACAGUGCUCCUCCUGGCAGUGCCCUCCUGCUCCUCGAGAGUCAGCUAUGCCGAGUUGCUAGCUUCCAUUACUUUAUAAGGUGCUGGUUGGAUGCCAGAGAAGCUCAGUGAAUCAUUACGAUGAAGAAAGCUGAUGUCUGAAGAGGAAAGUGGAACACAAUGGCUGUAUGUCAUCAUUCCCAAUCCCUGCCCUUGUCACAGCAGCAGAAAGCAUCAACUCCAACAAAGAGUGGGAAUGAGGAAGCUGCUUUUACUGAUGAAGUCAAACUUUAAGCCACAGAAAUGAAAACAUACACCACUGGAACAAGAAAGCAGACAUAUUCAAUUGCAGUUCAGGGC